GCUACAAUGUCUAUGUCAGGAAUGCCGUCAUCAAUUACCGUGCUGAGUCAUCACUUGACAUGACGAUGCGUUCCCUAUAUCCGAAGGUGUCUCUGCAAGCAGCGGUCCUGGACCAUGAUUACCUUGUGCGACCAUUUACAGAAUAUUGGGUGGAUCAAUCACUCCAGGUAUCCAACGCACGAAUACAGGCAAUUGAGUGUACCACCAGGAAGCAGAACCAAUCGAAAGACUGGUACGAGCAUCGCAGCUGGCGGAUCACUGCUUCGCAUUUUGGGAUGUUUGCCAUGCAACCGAGCGUCGAAAUAGGCGGAAGCUUUGCUCUUCGAUCCUGUCUCCAGGAAAGCUACACACACGAGCUAUUAUUUAUGGACAGCAGUAUGAAUCUGCUGCCCUAAGGAAAUUAGAGAACGAUCAUAAUCUUAAAGUAGAGAAAGUUGGACUUUUUAUUUCUCACGAACACCCAUUUUUGGCAGCCACACCAGAUGGGGUGUUAGAUAGGAAAACCAGGUUAAGUGUCCAUACUGGGGAAGGCAUUCUAAGAUUGCUCUAGGUAAAUCGUUUCCAUUUUUGGAGUACAACAACACUGGCAAUAUAUCCUUAAAGAGAAAUCACAAAUACUAUUUACAAAUUCAGGGACAGUUAAAUAUUUCUAGAAGAUCAAAAUGCUUAUUUGUUGUGUAUACCUUUGAAGACAUGUUUAUUGAGGAAAUUGAUGUUGAUGUAAAUUUGUGGAGGCAUAGCAUGGUGCCAAAGCUACAGGCAUUCUAUGAAGUUUACUACCGGAAGCAUGUGGCAUCCACAUUGUGAUUGUAGCCAUUAAUGCAAAUAAUUAAGGAAGACAACUAUGUGCUAUUUUAUUGUAAUGUCAGUUUGUAACUUUUCAUGCACAGUAAUAUCCUGUAAAAUACAAGUAAUGCAUUCCAAAACGAGAGAUACUUUUUUUCUAUUUACAAUUACAAAUUACGUAUAGGCAAAAAUUAAGAAGCGUUAUUAUCAUAAGGAUGGUGUCUCUAGGGUAAUUUC